CGAGGAAGAGGGAACCCCCUCGACGACGAGCGACCAGGACUGAAGAGGAUGCGGGGAAAGGAGCCGGAGAACGAAGCACAGAACCCGUCUCCUUCUCCUCCUGAGAAUAACUGCUCAGAAAGGAGAUGACCUCUGACCUCAGCGAGCAUCAUGGGAUGAAGAUGAAGAUGAAGAUGAAGAUCUCCACCUGCACAGUCUUUCUUCAGCUCCACCACCGGCCACGACAGGAAUAGACCGAGGUGCUUGUGCUUGAUGAAUGCUGCGUCCUCCUACGCCCUGUCAUCGGGAGGUGAACUCAGGCUUUGCACAGCCCUGCAUUUGAAGGAUUCCUGUAUUGUUCAUUGUGCUCCGUGAAGUCAAUGUCAGCAGAAUUUAUCUUAGCGCCUGGCGAGCGACGUGCUCCAGCACGCCACGCACCAUGAAAGAACUGAAAGGUGCACAAAGUCACUUCUCAUCACCUGAUCCCCAACGUCUGAGCUCGUAUCUUAAGCUCUAAGAUACGAGCUCAGACGUUGGGGGGGCUUCACUGGUUCUGUCGGAUAUGAAGUAAACUGGAAUCUUGUCAUGAUGGUUCAAACUGGAAAAAAAUGACAAUGAAUGGCAUGAAACAGAAGGAGUUGAUGUCUCUCUUUGAACCACAGGAAAUCAAUUUGCUUUUGAAUGUUUUUCUUUCUAGUUUAAAGCAGAGGCUGUAAAUAAAGACGGACGGUGCAUCUCCACUUCCUCCUCUCCAGGAAUGAAGCCAAAAAUCUCCUGGAUACAAACGAUGCCAUAGUCCGCGCAGCAGUAUCGUUCAAAUAAAUAGAUAGAAGGACAGGUUUGCUGCGUUGAGGUGCAGCUGAGCCUUGGAGUCUCCCUCCCUGCACCUGAUGAGGAUGAUGAAGGUGAAACCUGCGCAGACUGAUUUACAUUAUUUAUGUAAACCGUUCCCUGUAAAGACAUUUUGGUCUUUUCUUCUUCCCUGUAAUUAAAAUGUACUUCUCAUUUGCAACUGUUUUGCGUAUUAAAACAGUUCCAGGUCGGCCUCAUGGGAGCGCUGAGGGGGAACUCUUGGCGUCCAUGUUGCCAUGGCAGGAUGUUGUGUUCAACACUAAACACGGCAGUUACAAGUCGACAGUUAUCUGCGAUAUGCCACCCUCUGGCCCUGUUAAAAUGCAACCUUUGUUUAAAAUACACCCUGUUUUAAUACAGCUUGGCUCAAUCUCCGAGCGCCUGGCAGCCGCGCUCUCGCUCCUUUGUCUUUAUGAGACGCUUUUAAAGAGCCACAGCACCUUUUUCUGUUUCUGCAGCUCGGCUUUGUUUCCCCGUCUUCACGUAGAAGGAUUUUGAGAAGGAUGACAGUUUGAUCC